rnacentral:rRNA from 1 species
CCUACGGGAGGCAGCAGUGAGGAAUAUUGGUCAAUGGGCGCGAGCCUGAACCAGCCAAGUAGCGUGAAGGAUGACUGCCCUACGGGUUGUAAACUUCUUUUAUCAAGGAAUAAAGUGAGGCACGUGUGCCUUUUUGUAUGUACUUUAUGAAUAAGGAUCGGCUAAAUCCGUGCCAGCAGCCGCGGUAAUACGGAGGAUCCGAGCGUUAUCCGGUUUUAUUGGGUUUAAAGGGAGCAUAAAUGGGUUGUUAAGUUAGGUGGGAAAGUUUGCGGGUCAAACGUAAAAUUGCAAUUGAUACUGGCAGUCUUGAGUACAGUUGAGGUAGGCGGAAUUCGUGGUGUAGCGGUGAAAUGCUUAGAUAUCACGAAGAACUCCGAGUGCGAAGGCAGCUUACUAAACUGCCACUGACAUUGAUGCUCGAAAGUGUGGGUAUCAAACAGGAGUAGAUACCCCAGUAGUC